rnacentral:rRNA from 1 species
UACGGAGGAUGCAAGCGUUAUCCGGAUUUAUUGGGUUUAAAGGGUGCGUAGGCUGUGUGCCAAGUCAGGGGUGAAAUACCCGGGCUCAACCCGGGAACUGCCUUUGAUACUGGCAGACUGGAAUACUGUUGCCGUGGGAGGAAUGAGUAGUGUAGCGGUGAAAUGCAUAGAUAUUACUCAGAACACCGAUUGCGAAGGCAUCUCACGAAACAGCGAUUGACGCUGAGGCACGAAAGCGUGGGGAUCAAAC